rnacentral:rRNA from 1 species
UACAGAGGUCCCGAGCGUUGUUCGGAUUCAUUGGGCGUAAAGGGUGCGUAGGCGGUUUGUCGCGUCUGCUGUGAAAACUCGGGGCUUAACCCCGGGCCUGCAGUGGGUACGGGCAGACUAGAGUGCGGUAGGGGAGACUGGAAUUCCUGGUGUAGCGGUGAAAUGCGCAGAUAUCAGGAGGAACACCGGUGGCGAAGGCGGGUCUCUGGGCCGUAACUGACGCUGAGGAGCGAAAGCGUGGGGAGCGAACAGG